rnacentral:rRNA from 1 species
AUGGCUCUGGGAAGAGGCAGUGCGAGGAACAGCGCCGCGGUCCUCGGCGCGGCGGCGCUGCUGCUCGGCUUGCUCGCGAUGAGCGCCGAGGCGGCCAAGUACACGGUCGGCGACUACGGGGGCUGGAAGUUCAACGUCGCCGGGUGGGCCAAGGGCAGGACCUUCCGCGCCGGCGACGUGCUCGAGUUCAAGUACAACGGGGCGGUGCACGACGUGGCGGCCGUGGGCGCGGCGGCGUACCAGAGCUGUGUGGUGCCCAAGGGCAAAAGGGCGCUGCGCAGCGGGCACGACAAGGUGAGGCUGGUCAAGGGGAUGCACUACUUCGUCUGCACCGUGCGCGGGCACUGCAAGGCCAACAUGAAGAUCGCUGUCAGGGUCAUCUAG